rnacentral:rRNA from 1 species
UACGGGGGGGGCAAGCGUUGUUCGGAAUUACUGGGCGUAAAGGGCUCGUAGGCGGCCAACUAAGUCAGACGUGAAAUCCCUCGGCUUAACCGGGGAACUGCGUCUGAUACUGGAUGGCUUGAAUCCGGGAGAGGGAUGCGGAAUUCCAGGUGUAGCGGUGAAAUGCGUAGAUAUCUGGAGGAACACCGGUGGCGAAGGCGGCAUCCUGGACCGGCAUUGACGCUGAGGAGUGAAAGCCAGGGGAGCAAACGGG